UCCAACGCCGUCCUCUGAUUGGCUGACUGAGGUGACAUCACUGGGAGCCAGGCUCAUCCUAACUUGUCAUGGGGAAGUUUGUCUGAGGCACAAAUUUUUUGGGGGAUUCUCUGGGAGGGAGGUUGGUUGAUAGAAGGGGACUUUUUUUUUUUAGGUUGAUCCCAGUGACACAUGUCCAGAAAUGACUGGGAAGAUGGAGAUUUGCGGGGAGGGAACCAAGAAGUGGCCAGUGCUGCCUUUUAAGGGCCUUGUGGCGAGUGGCAAAGGGAGUUUGGAGGCAGGACUCGAACCCACCACUUGCAGUGGGUAUUGCCUUUGGCAUGGCUAGUGACGUGGCAGCGUCUCAAACCCAUCGCCUGCACCAGUUAUUGGCUUUGGCAUGAUUAAUGAUACGGCUGAGUCUCAAGCCCACCAUCUGCAGCAGAGUUUCUGUCCUGCUCUGAGUGUUAUAGUUUUGACCUCAAGGACUGGGUGAAUGUGCUGUACCUGACUUCACCAUCUUGCACCAGUGCAUUGGGGCUCCCAGCUCCACUCUCCUGGCUCCCCAGCUCAAGGCUGAGUCCAGUUCUUCUCCAAGAUGUAUAUGUGUGCAAUAUAAUCAAGGCCUGACUACAAUUCUGUGCUCAUGAAAGACACCU